UGUGUGUGAGACCACGGAACACUGCGUCAGGCAUGGCGUCUGACACGCAUGAGGAUGCAUUCCAUGUUGCCUUCUGAGACCACA
ensembl:snoRNA